rnacentral:lncRNA from 1 species
CCAUUUUGUUAGGGCUUCUCAAGUGGGAAUCAGGAAUGCUGCUGUGUUCUAGAGAUGUUCUGUUCUUCCUGUAGGGCUGAAGCAGUGCCUACUCGAUAGAAUCAGUCAUCAUGCAAAUAAAUGCCACCUGAGUCAAAGGCAAAGCCAGUGUGCAGCUUGGAGCAAAGAAGUUAAAAGAAUAUUGGCAGAGGAAGAGCCCUGGUGUUCCAGCAGGAGCCAACAGGAAAAAGAAAAUCAAUGGCAGUAGCCCUGACACAGCAGCUUCUGGUGGUUACCGCUCACCUGGGGAUGUGAGUCUUGGCUGACCAGGCUCCUGGGGACAGGGGACCCAAGGGGCAGUAGAGGGUAAUUGUUAAGAUUGUGGAUGGACUGUUGGGUACUGGUUAAGAAUUCUGGGUUUGAGGCCGGGCGCGGUGGCUCAAGUCUGUAAUCCCAGCACUUUGGGAGGCCGAGACGGGCGGAUCACGAGGUCAGGAGAUCGAGACCAUCCUGGCUAACACAGUGAAACCCCGUCUCUACUAAAAAUACAAAAACUAGCCAGGCGAGGUGGCGGGCGCCUGUAGUCCCAGCUACUCGGGAGGCUGAGGUGGGAGAAUGGCGCAAACCCGGGAGGCGGAGCUUGCAGUGAGCUGAGAUCCGGCCACUGCACUCCAGUCCGGGCGACAGAGCGAGACUCCGCCU